rnacentral:rRNA from 1 species
CCUUCGGGGUACUCGAGUGGCGAACGGGUGAGUAACACGUGGGUGAUCUGCCCUGCACUUUGGGAUAAGCCUGGGAAACUGGGUCUAAUACCGAAUAGGACCACGCGCUUCAUGGUGUGUGGUGGAAAGCUUUUGCGGUGUGGGAUGGGCCCGCGGCCUAUCAGCUUGUUGGUGGGGUAAUGGCCUACCAAGGCGACGACGGGUAGCCGGCCUGAGAGGGUGACCGGCCACACUGGGACUGAGAUACGGCCCAGACUCCUACGGGAGGCAGCAGUGGGGAAUAUUGCACAAUGGGCGCAAGCCUGAUGCAGCGACGCCGCGUGAGGGAUGACGGCCUUCGGGUUGUAAACCUCUUUCAAUAGGGACGAAGCGCGAGUGACGGUACCUAUAGAAGAAGCACCGGCCAACUACGUGCCAGCAGCCGCGGUAAUACGUAGGGUGCGAGCGUUGUCCGGAAUUACUGGGCGUAAAGAGCUCGUAGGUGGUUUGUCGCGUUGUUCGUGAAAACUCACAGCUUAACUGUGGGCGUGCGGGCGAUACGGGCAGACUAGAGUACUGCAGGGGAGACUGGAAUUCCUGGUGUAGCGGUUGGAAUGCGCAGAUAUCAGGAGGAACACCGGUGGCGAAGGCGGGUCUCUGGGCAGUAACUGACGCUGAGGAGCGAAAGCGUGGGGAGCGAACAGGAUUAGAUACCCUGGUAGUCCACGCCGUAAACGGUGGGUACUAGGUGUGGGUUCCUUCCUUGGGAUCCGUGCCGUAGCUAACGCAUUAAGUACCCCGCCUGGGGAGUACGGCCGCAAGGCUAAAACUCAAAGGAAUUGACGGGGGCCCGCACAAGCGGCGGAGCAUGUGGAUUAAUUCGAUGCAACGCGAAGAACCUUACCUGGGUUUGACAUGCACAGGACGCCGGCAGAGAUGUCGGUUCCCUUGUGGCCUGUGUGCAGGUGGUGCAUGGCUGUCGUCAGCUCGUGUCGUGAGAUGUUGGGUUAAGUCCCGCAACGAGCGCAACCCUUGUCCUAUGUUGCCAGCGGGUUAUGCCGGGGACUCGUAGGAGACUGCCGGGGUCAACUCGGAGGAAGGUGGGGAUGACGUCAAGUCAUCAUGCCCCUUAUGUCCAGGGCUUCACACAUGCUACAAUGGCCGGUACAAAGGGCUGCGAUGCCGUGAGGUGGAGCGAAUCCUUUCAAAGCCGGUCUCAGUUCGGAUCGGGGUCUGCAACUCGACCCCG